GGGCUUGUGGUCUAGGGGUAUGAUUUUCGCUUCGCAUGUGAACGGUCAGGGGUUCAAUUCCCCUCAAGUCCA
rfam:Trichoderma gamsii strain T6085 Scaffolds0027.1, whole genome shotgun sequence.